rnacentral:lncRNA from 1 species
AGAUCAUAUUAGAGUCUACCCUGGAACCUACAUCUGCCUUUGAGGAGCCCUAUCCCCAAAUAAGGUGGCCCUGCCAGUCUCCAUCUGGGAAGGAGGUGGAAGGAAGUGACAAAGGAAAGCGCAGGCAUUUGGAGACAGAAGGAGCCCAGCAGGACUUUGAAAGAAAAAUAUUCAGUGCUGGAACAUGCUUCUUACCAAGUAAUGUUUUCACUCUCUAGAAAACAUGCU